ACAAGAGUUGAGAGGUUGGUUACGUUGAAAUGUAGGGCCUGAAAUUGCAUGUUUACUUGUCUCUACUUCCAGCUUGUGUAUCUCAAGUUUUUCAUGAAGAACCUCAUACGUGCUUUUGGGCAAGUGGUUGCCACAUGUUGCUCCAUCUGUGGUAGAAAGCGUUCUACCCAACGAAAAUGUGGGAAAAAGUUAGAGCAGGUCUAAGAUACGAGAAUUAACAUUGGAGUCAAUGGGGAAAUCUUUAGUGAUCUGUGUCCACAUGGGCGAGCCAAUCGCUACACGUUGCAGACAAACUUUCAUCGAAUGAAUGAACACUGAGAAUACAUAUAGCGCACCACAUAUACUACCAUGCAUGAACCAAUACUUACAUAAAUAUAUAAGUUCGCUAUGUAGGAUUCACGCUUAUAUAACGAUCAAAAUCUUAAUUAAUUCUAGUGUAUUCAUUUACACUGAUAAAAUAAUCUACAAUUUAUGUAAGCCGGAGCGGAAGUCAGGAGAGAAGUCAUUUAAAAAGAGGAAAUAUCGUCUGUCGAAAGGGAGUUGAUGUCGGGCGUGAACAGAGUUGGAUAGUUUACAUGGCGAUAUAAUGACGUCGAUGGAAGAAGGAGUAUUUUCAGGAAGGGCUUACCACACCCGACUUGUACCACAUCCACACAGGUUUACAGUUCCAAUAUCACUGGAACUUAAGCGAUGGAACGGAGAUGAUAUCCCGACAGCAGCAUUCGACAAAGAGCCAGAUGAAAUAUGGAGAAUGUCGACCUUGAAAUACCUUGGAUACGAUUACAGUCCGACUCUGUACUACUUUUUAUUUUCAAAGGAAUCGAAGUCUUUCACGCAUGUCUAUAUUAAUACGCCUAGCCUGGACGGCGCAUUACAGUGUUACGAUUUUCCUUUAGUCCAAAAUAAAGGGAAGACAGAACACAUUGAGAAAACGGGUGACAUUUCACCCCUAGGCGUAAAGAUAACCGACGGAUCCCAUUCCUAUAAGUUUGUGUUUGAAUCCGAUUUCUUGGACUACUUUUUCGUUCGCAUUGACACGUUUGUGAACAAAAGGGCGCAUAUGAAGUGUGUAAUGAAAGUUCAAAGACAAGUCGCCCCAAGUUUGAGAAACUAUUUAAACGGGUCGAGCUGGUUAUUUAAGUUGAGGACAUUAUUUAUUGCGUUUAUCUUAUAUUUUAGGGGCUUGUUGAUAGAUAGGGGCUGGAUUAAUGAAGGCAUGCCAAUGAAAAAGUUGUUACAGGAAAUAAAAAAAUCAUCAUAAAAGACA